AUACAGGGAGAACCAAGGCACGUGGUGAGAUCUUGCCAGGGCCAAAUGAGAUCAUUAGCCAGAUGUCUCUUUACAGAGGACAUUAACUUGCUCCAUGAUGGAAGUAAAACUAUGUGGGAUUUGUUGGGAGAGAAUUCGUUCUGGCUCUGUACGUAAAAAGUUCAGAGCAUGGGUAAGGUAGGAGUUAGUGAGAAAAGGGUUAAUGGGAAGAAAGUCAAAACCAGAGUAAAAACAUUAUUUAGACAGAGAUCACUUUUCAGAAAUAAAAAUAGCUAAACAAGAAUAGGAAAAAAAUAAUAGCUAUAGAGUUAAGACCACGUGGAGAGGGAACAGGCUGCGGCAGAUGUUAUGUCUUAAAGCAUGGGCUUAGAAAUAGAAACAGAAGGCAGAGGAUAAACAGGAACUUUUCGGGAUGGACAAGUGGAAUAAUCUAGGGAUCCAGUAGCAACACCAGCUACUUAACAUUUUUUUUUACAAAGGACUUGGAAUUUCAAGUACACAAUGAAACCUAAGAUGCCGAAUGCUCUUCUGGGUAUUGAAGUGCUCAGCCGAAUAUACAUGAUAAGUUCUCAUAGGACCACGUGAAAAAGCAGAGGCAUAAAUGAGCCACAGUGUGAGCAAGUGCAAACUAAUGCAUUUAGGACUAAAUACUGCUGCCUGUAGUUAAAAUAGGAUGGAUACUGAGCCGUCAACACAGCUUAAGAGAGGAAUUUAAUUUAGCCUGAUCAAUGUGUUAGGGCGGAUUAAAAGAAAUACCGGUCGUUAUUGGAAAGAAUAUUGAAAACCAAAACAAUGGUGUUCCUUCACUUAGAAAAUCACGUGCAACCCUGGGCUUCACAGAUCCCCUGUGAGUUACUAAAGGACACUGUGAAUGUUUGAAGUACAUUCCUAACCUCUGGAGGAGAAACAUAAAUCAUCUCUUUUUGGCUGUCAUACAUUUUGUAGCGGGAUGGGCCCCAGUGCUAAGCCAGUGUAGCAAAUCUGAUGUUCUGGAUUCCCAGGGAGGCUUUCCCUCAAGCUCUCCUCUAAUCAACUUUCAUAGUCCAAUCCCAUGCCAUGACAAUAAAUACAACCAGUUUAGGCCAUGUUACCAAGGAUCCUCCUGGGCCAUAGGGCACCUGGUCAUAAAACGGUAAAUGGCAGGGCUGGGAAAACCUCAAGAGGGCAACCAUUUGGUCUUCCACCUCUAGAUGGAGCGAAAGAGUCAACUAUCUCAGAAAGCUGGGUUUUGUUUAUUGAAGAUUGUUUGGGAUGGCAGUUAUAAUCUACUAAUAAUUUUAAGUAUAAGAAUUUAUCUCCUUGGUUCCAGCUGACAUGUCUCCUGUGUAAAUCGUGUGCAAGUGGCAACUGUAAACAAAGUAGCUCUCGAAUGGGAGCAUUGAGAGGACAGGGCCUGCCCAUUUUCAAUUCAUGGAGACAUUGCUAUUUUCCAUAAAUAUUCACAACAUCUGUUCCCUUGAAACUCAGGCAUUUAUCCCUAAACCUCACAGCUAGAGGAAAAGAAUACAGAAUAUAACUAGAAACUUUUGGUGUGGAGGGGUGUAUAUUCUGACACACAUCAUGGACUUGGCCCCCAAACACUGCUGAGAAUUCUGGGGAAUGGACUGAUGGGAUUUAU
ensembl:lncRNA